CACCAAUCAUUUACAGGAGACAACAGGCCACACCUGAUCCUUGUUGACUCCUGCCAGAGUGCAUCAGCGUCACAUCGGCUGCAUUCAAGUACGGACUGAGUGAUUGAUUUAGCCCUCCGUCCCUGAGAGAACGCAGAUGUGAGGAGAGGAUUUGACCAUGGCUCGCUGCAUCAUUCCCAUCAACCCUCCAUGCAUCUGGCCGACCUGAGAGACGAGGUCAACUCAAGUUCAGCUCAGAAACAACAUCUCUACUCAUCUCUAAUAACUAAUCAUUCCUUCUUAUAACAAUCAUCUUUAUUCAUAGAGCACUUUUCAAAAUUUGUGCUUAUGAAGACUGAACACACACAUGCACACACACUCACAGAAACAUAUACAGAGA